rnacentral:rRNA from 1 species
AUGCGCGUUGCUGCGACGCGGCCCGCCUCCUCCGCUCCCGUUGCCCUCCUCGCCGCUCUAGCCCUCCUCUUCCUCGUCGGCUCCGCCUCCCUCGCCAUCGGAGCCAUGGCCAGCCACGUCCUCGGCGGCAAGAGCGAGAACCCCGCCGCGGCCAACAGCCUCGAGACCGACGGCCUCGCCCGCUUCGCCGUCGACGAGCACAACAAGCGCGAGAACGCGCUGCUGGAGUUCGUGCGGGUCGUGGAGGCCAAGGAGCAGACGGUGGCCGGCACGGUGCAUCACCUCACGCUCGAGGCGCUCGAGGCCGGCCGGAAGAAGCUGUACGAGGCCAAGGUCUGGGUCAAGCCGUGGCUCGACUUCAAGGAGCUGCAGGAGUUCCGCCACACCGGGGACGCCACCUCCUUCACCAUCUCCGACCUCGGCGCCAAGAGAGGGGGACAUGAGCCUGGAUGGCGUGAUGUGCCUGUGCAUGAUCCUGUAGUCAAAGAUGCUGCAAGCCAUGCUGUGAAAUCAAUCCAGCAGAGGUCGAAUUCCCUUCUCCCAUAUGAACUUGUUGAAAUCGUUCGCGCAAAGGCUGAGGUGGUUGAAGACUUCGCCAAGUUUGAUAUCCUCAUGAAACUGAAGAGAGGGACCAAGGAGGAGAAAAUGAAAGCCGAGGUGCAUAAGAACCUCGAGGGAGCUUUUGUGCUGAACCAGAUGCAGCCAGAGCAUGACGAAUCUAGCAGCCAGUGA